UACGUAGGGUGCGAGCGUUGUCCGGAAUUAUUGGGCGUAAAGAGCUUGUAGGCGGUUUGUCGCGUCUGCUGUGAAAAUCCGGGGCUCAACCCCGGACUUGCAGUGGGUACGGGCAGACUAGAGUGUGGUAGGGGAGACUGGAAUUCCUGGUGUAGCGGUGGAAUGCGCAGAUAUCAGGAGGAACACCGAUGGCGAAGGCAGGUCUCCGGGCCACUACUGACGCUGAGAAGCGAAAGCAUGGGGAGCGAACAGG
rnacentral:rRNA from 1 species